CGGGAGGCAGCAGUGGGGAAUAUUGGACAAUGGGCGAAAGCCUGAUCCAGCAAUGCCGCGUGAGUGAUGAAGGCCUUAGGGUUGUAAAGCUCUUUUACCGGGGAUGAUAAUGACAGUACCGGGAGAAUAA
rnacentral:rRNA from 1 species